UGGAAAACGUACUCCCCGUGGAGGAAAGUUUGGCAACGUCUGUCAGAAUGAAAUUGUACUGCUAGAUGUUUAUCCUACAGAUAUUUGUAUACAGAUGGGAAGUGAUAUAUAUAUAAAAUGGUCUUCACUGAAACGUUGCUUACAAUAGCAAAAGAUUACAAACAGUACAACUGCCCAUCAAUAUGGAGACCGGAAAUAAACUGGAGCACAAUACGCAGACAUAAAAAUAAAUGCGGGAGAUCUUGGUGUACUAACGUAAUUAAGUUGGACCAUAUAAAAUUGGCAAAAUUUGACCAUUUUUUAUGUAAGAAAAUGGCCAUUUCCUAGGCCUAACCUACUAAAAAAGAACAAUCUUACAUGUCUAAGUGAAGAAAACAGUGUGCAGAAGAAUGGAAGUACUAUGCUACUUCCUGUGUAAAAGAGGGGAAAUAAAUCUGUGUGUGUGUGUGUGUGUGUGUGUGUGCUGUUCCUGAAUAAUAUUUUGGAAACAUAAAUAAGGAACUAGGUUGUAGGGCAUAAAACAGGGUUUAGAAACAGGGAAGAAAGACAGUCUUUUAUAACAUGUGCUUUUAAAUCAUGUGAGUAUACGGCUCAUUACACUUAUGUUAAAAUUGUUUAGAAAUCACACAGAGGGUCAGUCUAGUAUAAGGUGCAGGACACUGUCCCAGCACUGGCUUCUGCACUUCACCCACUCGUGGUUUCACUUUCUCUUCUCAUCCUGAGCUACGGUGAUGUGCAACGAGAGAGAAAAUGCAUACACUCCGUUGCCUGGAUGGUAGAGUGGAGAAAGCAGAGCACCACGUCAUGAAAAUGUGAUGUCUGGAGUGGUGAGCAAAGAUCUUCAUGGUUUUCAGAAUGUGACUGUGCUGUCAUUAAUGAGGAAUAGAGUCUAUGGUUUCAUGGAAAUAUAAUUCAUGAGGAUAUAGUACUUAUGGUUGGUGAAAACCGUCUCCAGACAAUGAACAACUGGAAGGAUGAGUAAAACAGCCCAGAAGCACGACUGUACGUGGCAGUCAGGCUGCAUGGAAAAAGAAAUGAACUGACGAAAUCAACGCCCUGCUAAUAUUUAGAAGUUACACUGUCCUUGAACUGGGGAGUGAAUGCUGUUCUUCCGACAUGCACAUCCUUUUCCAUAGCUGGUAAUAAAGGCAUUUUUAAAGCACACAAUGAUUAUUCCAAAAUUGUCAGUAGCU